UUAAAAGGCUUGGAGAUUAUAUUCGAAGCUCUAUAGCAGUGCGAAACAGAGAGAGAGAUGAAGGUCUGUCCUCGAAGAAACUUCCUGAUGUCGAAUACUCGGCUCAACACAGUUAAUCGCGACCUAGACAUCAUCGCGACUGUCGAGAGACAGUUAAAUUUAUAACAGACGUAUUAGAUCCACGUUUACGGAUCGUUUUAAUGGCAGAGGAACGCGCAAACGAAGAAACGAUCGGACGAUUUCGUGAUUGCCCUAACUGCGAGUCAGCUAAUAAAAGACGUUGCGCAAUCGUGGACGUUGGUGUUGCGCCGUAGAUAAUAAUAAGAACAUAGACUGGUAAAGUGGAAGGGGCGGGUAAGAGACAGCAAAGGAUAGGUUCUCUUUCUCUCUCUAUCUAUCUAUCUACCUAUCUAUCUAUCUACCUAUCUAUCUAUCUAUCUAUCUAUCUUCUAUCUCCUAUCUCCCUGCUUCUGUUGUAUGUGCGCGUCCAUGUUUCUUCUUUCGAUACUGUCGAUGGAUCGCUGUGUGCACGCGCGAAUGCACAAACAUAAUAAUUUGUCGCGGAUGAGUUGUCGCAAGUUACAGCGGCCGCGCACUAGUGCACUGGUGCAACGAAAUCGAAGAGAAACUCUCUCGACCGAACUCGUACGCUAUUUACAGCUUCUUUCGAGUAACAAGUUACUGGAUUGAUUGUCUCGAGCCUUCAGGAAACGUACUAUCGUUUUCUCGUAUUAUUAUAUUCUCUAUCUUUGAUCGUUUUUUUUCGUCAUUUAUAUAUUUUCUAAAAAUCAUCAUUUUCAUGCACUUCUGUCUAACUUUCAUUCGACGGCACUGUUUCCGCCUUUCGUAUUCACUUUCGACAAAGAAAUGUCCGUAAAUAGGAUCAUUAGAAUGGAGAAUCGAUACGUUAACCUGACCACGUUAAUUAAAUUGUGAAAUUUCUAUCGCGAUUACUCACGGCCGAACGUUGCCACGGUAUCGUUUCUUGGAGAAACACGCGUCUACGAGAAUACUAAUCGACGUUAACCUCUUUGCCGUGGCCAUACUCUCCACCACCGUCCGUAAUCUGCCUUUCUCGUGGCCGUGUCUUUAUUUUACCAGUAGAAAGGAAAGGUCGCUCGAGGAUAGACAAAUAAGACGGAAUCGGCGUGAAGAGGCAUAUCGAGGAACGAUUGCCCGACGGUCGUUACGCGUGAUAGAUGUUAUACCGCUAUAUGUAUGGUACAGUGUGACCACAGAGUUUUCUCUGGCUCGUUUAGCAAAAGCAGGGAACCACGAGAAAUCCGAUCGUAAUUACUUCCGGCUCGCCGAGGCCUUCUAGGGAACGUUGAGAAAACGGAAAUUCACUUUCUUUACCUUGGCACCAUACUUACCUCUAUGUUCUUCUAUCUUGUUUUCUUUCUCUCUUCUCCUUUCUCUCCGUCUCCCUCUUUAAAUGACCCGACGUCUGCGCGAUAUGCACGCACAUGUAUGCAUACAUAUCGUGUGUGUAUGGUCGUGAUUCUUAUACAUCGACGAUUCGUUUAACAAAAUGUUCAGGGUCAGCAUACGUAUGUAGAUAGAUGGGACACCUGCAUCGAGUAUUGUCUUUUCGCGACUUUCCGACUUUUCUAACCACAGAUACGUAUAUACCUGUGUAAUCAUUGUAAAUAAUUACUAUUAUCGUUCAGCAAUUAAUCGAUUUAUCUUGUGAUAAAAGACAGUUGAUAUUCGUACAAAGACGAAUGUCGAAACGUGCACUUAGAAACUCGUUCCUUGGCACUCGAUCAAAGUAUGUUGGAAUCUGUAACAUUAUUCGGAAUAUUAUUUUGGAUCGUUUUUCUGAUGAUCGAGCAUUUCACUCGUACACCCUUCAUCGUAAAACAAUUUUUUAUCACGAAUAUUAAGAAUGGAAUUCAAAUGUAAAAAUAUGGCCGAAUGAACACCGAUACAUUCAACGCCAUCUGUUUGCAGUCCAUCGUUUGACGAUACAUUUUACGAGCAUUGUUUUCCAAACUGCUUUUCCAUAGAUAUAAAUAUUAUUUACAAGUAUACAUAAAAGAAAACUUGUUUUUCACUUCGUAUACGAUGUAACGAGGACGUUAAACGUAAAAUUGAUGUUGAUUAUCCAAAAUAUAGUGACGUUACCGUGAAUUUGUAGUUUGUGACGUAGAUGUUCGCAGUUGAAGUGACGAGAUAAACGCGCCAUCACAGCCGUAGUGUACUUAAACCUUUCGUUUGUUCGAUUGAAAUUUGCGUAAAAUAGAUUUCGCGUAGCCAUUGCGAAUGUAAUUUUAUUUCAUUUCUUUCGUUGACACGACUUUCGACUUGCAUUCAUUCGAAACGAAUUUAAUAUCGUUUAUUCCAUACGGUAAAACGCAUGGAACUCUACUGUCUGCUCGUUAAUGUGGUAAAGCUGUUUCGCGACAGAAUUCAAAAGAAAAAACGUGUAGUUCUUAUUAAAUAACUUUAAUACUGCUCCACGUUAAGCCGGUUAAGCGACAGAAAAUGGUCUUUUGUAACCAAGUGGAACUAUACGUAAAACUUGCGCCCUAUCCUUUUCCUUGUUCGUUGUCUGUCUUUUUCUCUCCAUUCGUUCCCCUUCUUCCUUGUCAACAUUACGCUCGGCUUGGCAAACAGCGACAGGCACGGACAUACGAAGGACGUAUACCUAUAUAGACUCAACUUACAUGCACAGACUGCCACCAACACAUCUGUAUCUACUUCAAAAGCCAUUGAACGUGCUGUUAGCUUUUUCUCUUUUCGUUGCUCGGUUCACUCUCUCGUUCACGCGUAGUGGCUUCGAUAGUGGGACAGAAAGAGACAACGAUAACGGCCGCUUGGAACUCGAGACGAUCGUUUUCAUCGAAUGCUUCGGAUCAUAUCAUUUGGCUGUUUAAGCUGUUUUCUAUUUUUACUUGUGUUUUGGCGUGCGACUACGUAAAGGAGAAACCAAUUGAAUUUAAUUUGAAGUUUGAUCGCGCUUUUAAUAAUAUGGUGAAAAUUGAUAGAACUGAAUCACAGGAAUGGAGGUUAGGAUAUUUGUAUUCAAUCGAUCGCCAUUUCAAUUGUACUAGUUUAACAUAAUUUGUAUUUAGAUAUAAGAUUUAUAAUCAACAUUUCGUUAUGUAAAAUUCACAUGACUUUCUUUCUGCUGAUUUUAUGAAAAACAUGACUUUGAGUUCUAAAGGCCAUGAUUUCUCAACUUCGAUCGCAUUAUCUUAUUUAUUUAUUUAUUAUUAAUUAGUGUCGCGUCAGCUGCUCAGGCACAUGAAUUACAGACACACGCGUGUUACAAUAUUUAUCUUAUUUUUCUUGUAAGUGGUUUCUUCUUAUUCAUAUAAGUAGCAAUAUAUUUAUCUCCUUCCAACAUUUCACGUUUCCGCGAUUUUGCGCCAAUAACGUGAUACGAUUCUUGGAAAUUACAUCCUUCAUUUUUGUAUUGACUGCGACAAAGGAAAAUUCGAGUUCCUUUCGAUUUACGUAUAAAUAACUUCAUGGUCGAAGAACACGGAUUUCCUUCAAAUGUACAUACAAAAAUGAUUUUACUGGUAGUCUCGAUACAAUAUUAAGAAAUGGAUUGACGUAUGAUAUAUUAAGAGAAAAAAUCAUAUUUUAAAUUGAAAUCACGUCGAAGUGAACGGCAAUGGUAACAAGACCGAGGCCCGAUCGGUUGUUAUCGACUACAGAGACCAAGACAGACCGCGUCGAAAGACAGAGAUGAGAAAUAAGGCUCGCUAUCGUUCUCCAUAAAAACAAGUAUAUUUAACUAAGACGCGAUAACAUACCUUAAUGCGGUUUCGUCGUAUAACAUGCUACAUAUUAUUUGUUCAUGCACAUCGAAUCAUGUACAAUUUGCAAUUUUCUCAUAAUAUGUAUUCAUUAGCACGGACAGCAACCACGUAACCAAAGAGAUCAAUAACAUCGAGAUAGAAAUAAUUUAAUGUCACCGAACAGAUAUUUGUGACCAAUGUUCAAAGAUUUAAUUGCACACGAUAUCUGUGCAUUCGGACAAAACGUAGUACAGGCUUGGUUCUCAUAAUUCCACGACUGGAGCAGGUGUACGAGAAAAUUUCUUUGUUUUUCUGCGUAUAUGUUUCCAUUAUCAUCACCUAAUGACGUCAAUGCAAUUACAAUAAAGUUAGUUGCGUAUUCGACAGCUUGACAGCUGCGGCUUCCGACACUUUUGUUGCUCUAAAAACGGAAGAUUUUGGCCGACAAUCGUUAACUCAGCCGAUAUUACCAUACGUUGGUAAAUUUAUCUUGCCCAUUACGCUUGAAAACACGCGGAGAUAAAUAUGCUUUUGGAAAAGAAUUUUACUCCCGAUAUUGGCAGUCAAUAUUGUAUUUGAAGCAAAUAAGAAACGUGUUUUAUAUUAUCUUCGAUCUGACAAAGCGCUUUCGUCAUUCGAAGUAUUAAGAAAUAGAUAAUAUUAUUCGAAUCAUUUGUUACUACAAAUCUGUCUCUAUGACUAGGCUAGACUGGAUACCAUAGCUAAAGAUGGAAAUAGGUCCAAGAGUACAGUUGAUGAAGUUUUAUAGAAGCAGAGAUGUAAAAUACAACUAUUAAGACAAAGAAUAUUUUUAAAAUUACAAAGAGUAUCAUAUAGAUGCGUGGCUUCAAAAUAAAAUAAAAAGAAAAUGUUGAUAACAUAGAGUUAAUCGAAACUCUUUCAAAAAAUAGAAACAUCUUUAUCGCGUUGCUCUCUUUUGCUCUUCAUCGAUUAAAAUAUUUUACACUAACCUAUAUAUAUAAAUUAUCCUAACUUUAAUUAACGAAGUUAUGUUUGAAUUUUAUUAGCGUAAUUUUAUUUCGGACCUUUUAUUGUGUUUUUGUGUUCCCUUUCUCAAAAUCCGUGGGAAGGAGGCCUCGCGGUCUACGUUACAAUCAUGUGGUCGACGACGAAAUAUAAAAGGCGGACACCAGGGCUGGCAUAAAUUGAAUCGCAAAGAGCCCCGGCAGAUUGACGCGUUGAAUCCUUUUAACCCCUUGUCGGGUCACUGAUAAUCUUUCUUAUUAUUAUUUCGUACGACGUUAUGCUCUCAGCUUUUUCUUCCUCGUUACCGCGGGAACUUCGCUUAAUUUACUCAAUUUAUAUCGUGUGCACCUCACUCGUAAAGACAUUGAUGCUAAUAAUUCUUCCAUCGUCUGGAUUAUUCUAUUCUAUCAUUUUAUCGAUUUUAAUCGAUAUUUAUUACGUACGAAUUUUUAUGCAUUUAUGAGAAAUUCGAUGAUGCAAAAAUGGAUAGAAUGCACACGAUAUGCAAUGUAUAUAAAAUAUACGAAAUGCAGCGCAAUGUUGGAUAAACAAUGCAAUUGUAUACGUGUCAUUUUUAAAAUUAUAUUUCCAUAUAUGUUUAUGAAUUUCGUAAAAAUAUAAAUUUUCAAAAGAAAGAAGUGUCGAAAGGGCUGAAAGUAGAAAAUUACGAAAAUAAUAUUAGACCAUUGUUUCCUCGAGUCUGUUCUUUUUGGCCAACGUUCUGUGUUUAAAAAUUGCUUCAUAAAUAGUUUUUCGUUUUUCCCGAACACCUUGUUUGACUUGUGUCACUUUUGAAACACACGUGCGAUGCAUCAAAAUGGAGGAAAAUAAACGCGCCACGCUCCAUUGUAUUGCACGACUCGAGUGAAUUCGUUACAGAGUUUGUAAUCGGCAAGAAUAUUUUGUCACUGUCUACGAAAAUUGGACAAUGCGCGUUAUUCGGUUAUUAUGCGUUAUUCAUUGUUUAUAAAUUGUUCAUCGUUACUAUUGCCGUAUUAUUAUUCAUGCACGCGAGUUACAAACGGUAGGCGUCGAUUUCAAAUGCGUCAAACUGUACGUGAAUUUGAGGAAGCGAUUAAAAUUCGUGGAACGAAGAUUCAAAUUCUACGAGGGAAGGAGGAAGAAGAAAUUAAUUCAUUACGAUUCCGAUAAUGAUAAACUUUUUCCACUUAUCUUUUACGUCAUACACACACAUGCGUAUAUUCGCUCAUAUAUGUGUUUGGUUUUAUUUUAAACCGGGAGGAGGGGGAAGGGAGGAUGUAAAGUUUCCCGAGUAUUGUUUCGUUAUUAUUAUAACCUACAAAAAUACUCUUUGACGUCAAACAUUCGCGAUAUUAAGAUAAAGAUGCGUUUAUUCAAUGCAAAGAAAUUUUCCCAAGAUAUCUCAGUUUUCAUUGUUCGGAUGUAUCGUGUAUUUCGUUUUGUUAAACCUUCUGCAAUGGUCUAAAAUUAUAGGAAAUUACACGUAGUUAUUGCACAAGGUAAUCCACGCAAUAGCAUUUCGAAGCUAUUGCUCGUUCCAAUUCCAUGAGACAGUCUGUGUAUAAUCUUCGACAAUAACGAUAUAGUUAAUGAUUUUUAUAUUAUUGACGUGUUACUGAAGAAUACAACGUUGCCGGUAAGUUAGUUAUCCUAAGAUAUUGACGAAUGAUAAUCUUAUCUGAUUUCUGAUCGGUUGUCAAAAUGUUUCCUGCUAAUUAAUACUUCAAUCGGCAAAUAUCAAUAUUUGAUAUAAUUUCCGAUAACAAUUGCCAAUAUGACACUUCAGAAUAAUCAUCUAUUUUUAUAUUAAAAAUUACAUUUAUAUUCGUCUCUUCUGAGCAAUAAAAUGGGUGAAAGAGAAUAAAAAUAAUUGAUCGACUAUUGUAUCAAUUAAUUGGUUUAAAUUUCACGUAAUCUUAGUAUGUUUAUACAAUGAGUGCAAAAGAUAUCGUCGUAUAUUCUUAGUUUCCAACGAAACGUUUUUUAUCAGCUUCUAAGUUUCGUUAUCGUAGUAUUAAGUUUCUAUAGUUACAUGAAAAUACUGUUAAAUGAUAUGAAAUUUAAUAUACAUGGGCCUAUUUAAUUAGUACGUCGAUGCUAAUACAAUAAUACGCAGAUACUUUUCCUCUUAUGUUAUCACAAUUUUUACAAUCGUGUAUAGUAAUUAUUCUUCAUUUAAACAGAUUGCCAGAGGUUAUCACGUAACACCGAUAAUACCGCGAUAAAACGGUAAGAAAAUAUGGGAAAGUAUGUCACGGGAAGUCGCGUACCUAAUUGCGUUAUAAAAGACAGCUCAUUAGUUUUUCACGAACUCAUAAUAGAGUUGACAACCUUACGAACUUACGCGUACGUCGUUUGACACGCGACGCGUGUUCAUUCGUACGCGACUGCUAAUUAUGUAUUUUCUCUCUGUAAAAUUAUUCAAUCCGAUCGAUGUUUUUUCAAUUAGUCAACUGCUAACGUCCGUGGCAUUGUUCUUUUCUAUUCAGGGUUUACGUAAGUUUUUAGAGUAUAAAAUUAACAAAUUGCGAACUUACGAAAAGUGAAAUUUCUAAAUUUCGAAACUUCCGAAAUUCCAAGUUUUCCAACCAUCGAAUUUCUAAAUUUUAAAUUUCUUAUGAAUUUACGAAAUGUUAAAUUCUCAGGCUGUCACAUUUACAAACUGCCAAGCCUUUCCUCGUCAUGUCGAAAAUUCAAAUUUCCGAAUUUCAAAAUUCCGAGGUUUAUUAAAACUCUCAAACUUUCAGUCUUCGAACCUUUCGAAUCCUCGAAUUGUUCCAUUUCACAAUCGAAGAUCCUUCAAAGAUAAAGAUUAAAACGUAUGACAGGAUCAGUGUACGUGUUUUUACUAAUUAUUAGUAUGCGCGAAGGCGUUACGUGGUCCAGGCAAAUUCGUAUCACGCUCCCGCUCCUCUUACUAUCAAACCGAUAACUCUUCGACAACGAUGCACAGAGAUUGAAAUUUCCAUUACAUCCUCCCCCUCUCUCCUCUCGUUUAAAUAUCGACAAUAUCAUUAAAAUCGACUUGCACGAAGAAGAAGAAAUUAAAUACGCGUUUCGAUCGAAAUCUAACGUACGAAAUUUCUGCCGGUUGAAGAGGACGUUCUGAAGAUUUGAGAAACUUGAAAUUCACGCGAAAACUAGAAAAUAAGAAAAGAAGAACGAUUAGAAAAGUAGGAUCGAUAAAGGCGAAUAUAAAUCGCUACGCGCAGUAGCGUGACGCGACUACGCGGAACCCCGUCCUCGAAACAGCACCAAAUUCGGUCGACUCGCGAAUGGAAUUGGCAACCUACUGACACACUAAUCGGCGCAUCGACGAGCUCCGUCAUGAAAUCGCGUUCGCUCGAGGCCGAAUUAGGCGACCGUGCAAAAUGACUUGUUCUCGACUUGAAACCGUUCGCUCGAUGACGCAAUCCCGAUACUUCUCCAUCGGCCUAAUUGCAUUUCGUGUCGCAACCCUCUGUACUGGAAGGAAUAGGUAUUACGAUCAACGUGAACGUUUGACCCGCCUUGUACGCGAACGAGAAUCCAUUGAGAUUUGUAAUCGUUAAUUUCAAGUGGCGAAUACGAGGUCUAACAAAGCUUAUUUAGAAUGCGCAUACAGAAAGAACUAUUUAAAUUGUCGGCUUAUGAAUGAUUCAACGCGUUGGUCAUUUGUAUACUUAGCAGAUUCAAAUUUAUCUAUUUUUCGUGUAACAAGUUUUCUUCGAAUCAUCUUCUUCUUAUCUUAAUUACAAUUUAUACCGCUAAUUCGUAAGGGAACGGAGAAUUUGCUACGUUCCAGAGAAUCGGACGGUUAAGAGAUUCGACGAUUCUCUUUCCAAGUGUUUCAAGGCUCUGCGAUAUUAUAAAUAUCACGAGAAUUUUCGUUUACUCGUUUCUUAUUCGUUCAACUUACACGAACGCGAACCGUCGUUUGGAGGAAAAAUUAUAGACGAAACGAACGAAAAGCUUUUUAAACGCGUCAUACAUACGAAUGAACGAAUCACUGUGCCUUCGAAAAUGAAAGAGCACGGCUAGCUGGGGCAUUUUGAAACUAAGCAAGAAGGUGAUACGGUUUUCUACGAUGGCUGCGAACAUUCAACUGCCUCGCUGUCUGCAAGACGAGCGGCCUAGAGCCGCUAGACAAAACCAGCGACAGAACCGUUUAAGGAGACGCGGAGAAAAAACUCGCGGACGCGAUGAAAGAAUCGGAUCGUCCCGAAAGGGAAAUUCAGUCGUCGUCGAUCGGAUUCCAGAGCGCAACCAUACGAAACGGACUGGAUGCGCAGAAGAGACCAGUGGCCGAGUCGAUCGACGCGCAACUGACUGAAAAUCGGCUGGUGCUUGCACAGUGGUUAUAAAAAAACGCGCGUGGAAAGGCCGGGGCCGACGAUUUUAGAGGCCAUUCAACGAUCGCGAUAGAUCCGCCGGGAUGAGUCAGAAAACGCAUUAUGUAUUUAUAGAGUUCUCUCUCUCUCUCUCUCUCUGCUCUUCUGUUUGUACCGUGGGACGAUGUGAAUCACGCGCGCCACCAGAUGAAAAGUAAAAGAGAGAAAGAGAGCAAUUUACGGUCGACCAGAGUGGCGAGAAAUUUUACGCACGUCGUCUUCCGCUGCCUUUUUGCCCCCGCGUCCUCCUUUCGUACGAAUUCCUUCCUUGUUACGUAUCUGUUAUGCGGCCGAGAGUUUUGGUUUCCGACGCGACAGAACCUGACCGAAAGUGGGUCUGCAAUCGCGGCGUUGCGCGCUGCCCGGGGAAAGCUUACAUGUGCAGCUUUCUUCAGGAGCUAUAGCUCGCCAAUCAAAGAUCAGCCCCACGCCGUACAGCGAUUUUUGAUACAGCGAACUGCGGAUGUUCGUGUAUUUGUAGAAAAUUUGAUGCACCGAAGGUUUUACGGGAUUAGAUUGUACGAGAUAUAUUGGUAGAAAAUUUGGUAUUGGUUGCGAUAUUUCUUUUUAGUUUCUCUUUUCCUUUUCAGUUGUACGUAUAAGAGCACGAUCUAUUUAUUAGUUUGGUUAAAGUGGCAAGGUAAACGCGUUGAGAAUAGUCUGGGUGGGAUUGGAGAUUAUAAAUGUACGUUGACUAAUGUAAUCUUCGUGAAAGAGAUAUGGAUUUUCAUUGCCAAGACAGAAGUUUGGGGAACUCUGAACAGAAAUAUGCACCCGAGGUUGUUGUUAGGAUCAUGAGACGUCAGCCCAUUAUAGUGGUACAAGAAGGAUCGUUUCUUUUCUUCUUACAGCUCCAGGUUAAUUUUAACCGAUACGUACGGUAUCUAAUUACGUGGGAUA